UUUUUAGAAAUUAAAAAAUAUCUGUAAAAGAUGUUCACAUUUUUUUUUAUAUCUGUGAUAAUUUAUACGACUGACACGUCAAGCAAGUUUCACGCAGUAGUCACCUGAGCUUUGCUGAUAACAAUGGAGGAUAUCUUAUACUUUUAGUUUAGGCUUUGCAGUUUUACUAGACAGGAAAUUCAAAGAUAUAUUUUUAAACUUAUAAUCAAAUUUUUUUUUGUUAAACUUGCAAAUUUUAUUUUAAUGAUUUUUAAUUUUUAUUUUUAACAAUUUACAUGUAAUUAAUAAUAGCCGCCAAUUUUCUCAACUACACGAUUAACAUUUUCCUUUGGAAAAAUUUUUAUUAAUUUAUUGCAAUCAAUGGACAAUUUCUUUGUGACAAUUGCCUCAAUCAUAAUAAGAUUUCAUCAUCAUAACUUGAACCUUCUACUUCUGAAAUAAGAAUAGUUUGUUUGCACAAAAGUAUUAGCGUAUUAUUUUGAGCCGAAUAACCUUGAUGGGAUUGGCGGAAUAAAUUUUUUAUACACCUUGAGUCAAUUCAUUUCAAAUCGACAUUUGCUUUGUGCCAUCAAGAAAAAAAGUGCUAUUAAUCUUGAUCCUGUGUAACAAAAAAAAAGAACCCUUCCUUAACGCUUCUAAGAGACUUUCUCUCCUAAUUGAAAAAAUUAGAAAAAAAAAUUAAAAUAUCAGUUUUUUGAAAUUUUCAAAAGCAAUUGUAGUUUAUUCUUUAAAUUAUUAUAAUUUUCUUAAAAUAUUUUAAAAAAUGCUUCGAUUGAACUAUAUUUGAACCAAUUUUAACAAUGAA